CUGAAGUUCACAUAUGUGUUGGCUGGCUGGGAGGGGUCAACGCAUGAUGCUAACAUUCUCACUGACAGCAUGAGUCGACCUGAUGGGAUCAACAUCCCCGACGGCAAGUUCUACCUUGGAGAUGCUGGCUAUGCAUGUCGCCCGGGUAUUCUUUCACCCUUCAGGAAAACAAGGUACCAUCUCAACGCGUUCUCUGGUAGGAACUAUCCUAGGACUGCACAGGAGCUGUUUAAUCUCAGACACUCCAGCCUUAGGGUAACUGUUGAGAGGGCAUUUGGAGCUCUGAAGAAUAGGUUUAAGAUCCUGGAUCAGAAGCCAUUCCACCCAUACUCCACUCAGGUUAAACUAGUUCUUGCUUGUUGCAUUAUGCAUAACUGGAUCCUCCAGUGGGGCUUUGAUGAACACGUGCCCGAGGAGGAAGAUGUCGAGCCUGACGAUGUUGUUAGCUCCGGCCAUGGUGUGGAGGCAUUUGACAAUGACGCUUGGAAGAAUAAAAGGUUGGAGUGGGCAGAGGCGAUGUGGCUUAACAGAGGUCAGUGCAGGAUUUGA
rnacentral:rRNA from 1 species